rnacentral:rRNA from 1 species
CCCUAGUAACGGCGAGUGAAGCGGCAACAGCUCAAAUUUGAAAUCUGGCUCUUUCAGGGUCCGAGUUGUAAUUUGCAGAGGGCGCUUUGGCGUUGGCAGCGGUCCAAGUUCUUUGGAACAGGACGUCACAGAGGGUGAGAAUCCCGUACGUGGUCGCUAGCCUUCGCCGUGUAAAGCCCCUUCGACGAGUCGAGUUGUUUGGGAAUGCAGCUCUAAAUGGGAGGUAAAUUUCUUCUAAAGCUAAAUACUGGCCAGAGACCGAUAGCGCACAAGUAGAGUGAUCGAAAGAUGAAAAGCACUUUGGAAAGAGAGUCAAAUAGCACGUGAAAUUGUUGAAAGGGAAGCGCUUGCAGCCAGACUUGCCUGUAGUUGCUUAUCCGGACUUUUGUCCGGUGCACUCUUCUGCGGGCAGGCCAGCAUCAGUUUGGGCGGUUGGAUAAAGGUCUCUGUCAUGUACCUCCUUUCGGGGAGGCCUUAUAGGGGAGACGACAUGCAACCAGCCUGGACUGAGGUCCGCGCAUCUGCUAGGAUGCUGGCGUAAUGGCUGUAAGCGGCCCGUCUUGAAACACGGACCAAGGAGUCUAACAUCUAUGCGAGUGUUUGGGUGUCAAGCCCAGACGCGUAAUGAAAGUGAACGGAGGUGGGAACCCUUUGGGUGCACCAUCGACCGAUCCUGAUGUCUUCGGAUGGAUUUGAGUAAGAGCAUGGCUGUUGGGACCCGAAAGAUGGUGAACUAUGCUUGAAUAGGGUGAAGCCAGAGGAAACUCUG